rnacentral:rRNA from 1 species
UACAGAGGUCUCAAGCGUUGUUCGGAUUCAUUGGGCGUAAAGGGUGUGUAGGUGGCGCGCUAAGUCGGGUGUGAAAUUUCGGAGCUUAACUCCGAAACUGCAUUCGAUACUGGCGUGCUUGAGGACUGGAGAGGAGACUGGAAUUCAUGGUGUAGCAGUGAAAUGCGUAGAUAUCGUAAGGAAGACCAGUGGCGAAGGCGGGUCUCUGGACAGUUCCUGACGCUGAGGUGCGAAAGCGUGGGGAGCAAACAGG